UACGUAGGUGGCAAGCGUUGUCCGGAAUUAUUGGGCGUAAAGAGCUCGUAGGCGGCUUGUCACGUCGGAUGUGAAAGCCCGGGGCUUAACCCCCGGGUCUGCAUUCGAUACGGGCUAGCUAGAGUGUGGUAGGGGAGAUCGAAUUCCUGGUGUAGCGGUGAAAUGCGCAGAUAUCAGGAGGAACACCGGUGGCGAAGGCGGAUCUCUGGGCCAUUACUGACGCUGAGGAGCGAAAAGCGUGGGGGAGCGAACAGG
rnacentral:rRNA from 1 species